rnacentral:rRNA from 1 species
UACGUAGGGGGCAAGCGUUGUCCGGAUUUAUUGGGCGUAAAGAGCGUGUAGGCGGCCAUGUAGGUCCGGUGUGAAAACUCGAGGCUUAACCUCGAGAUGUCAUCGGAAACCAUUUGGCUAGAGUCCGGAAGAGGAGAGUGGAAUUCCUGGUGUAGCGGUGAAAUGCGCAGAUAUCGGGAGGAACACCGGUGGCGAAGGCGGUUCUCUGGGCCUGACCUGACGCUGAGGAGCGAAAGCGUGGGGAGCGAACAGG